rnacentral:lncRNA from 1 species
GUUAAGUAAUAAUAUUUAUAAAGUUCGUAUCCGCAGGGAUUGUUUCAAUCUCGACAAAACAAUUGAAUUGUAUUUAGGUCGUAAAUAUAAGGGGGUAUGCUUGGCAUAUAUUUGGUUUAUAAAAUAAUUAAAAUAAAUAUUGCAAUAAUUUGACGAAGACUUUUUAAAGGAGCGAAGCGAUUAAGGAUUGUUCGAAUCCUCUCUGUAUCCCUAUUUGGUACUCUAGGUUCUAAUUCUCAACAAGCAAACUCUAAUAGUUACGAUAAUUUAACAAAAUAGAUUAAGUCCAAUUCCUUAGCUCAUGAUCCCUUUUAUCUAAUAAAGUACCCUAAUUUCUUAGGCGAAACUAAUAUUAUCAAAAGCGUUAUUGAACGUUAAAUUCUCAAUCAUACCAACUAAUUCUUUAUUCCUAAAACAAUUACGAUUGGCAAACAAUUAAUUUAGUUCUAGUAAUAAAACCUAGGGUCAGUAGUGAAUUAUUUCUUGAAAUCAAUUCGAUAUUGGCCAAAUAAAGAAAAGCAUUAAACACGAAAUUAACUGAAUAACUAUUAGUUUUGAUUGCAUAAAUAAGAACACGUAGUUACAUGGUUCAAAUAGUUCUACAAAGAAUCAUCUAAAACCCCUAAUCUGAUGAGAUUAGUUACUCAUAAUAAUAAUUGACAUAACCAUUAAGUUCUGAAAAUUAUACAUGAAUUAAUAUGAAAAGCACCUUGAAUAAGAACUCCAAUGGUGAAUUCCUUUAUCUCUCGGUUCUAGCCGUAUCCCUCUUUUUCCUGCUGUCUGCGUAAGUCUGCGUAAGUCUGCGUCCCUCUCCUUAGGUUAAAAUAGCUUAUUAUUUAUAUGCUUAGAAGGAGCAAUCACGUGACACCAAUAAAAGGAAUCCAGCCAGUAGCAUCUUGACNNNNNGAUGCAUGCUGACGUCAUGUGCGUUGUAAGCCAAAAUCGUGCCGCGAUCGGAAUAGCACAGGGACGCGAAAAUUACAGGAGCUGAAGGCGUGUCAAUGUUUAAAACUUUGGAAAUUUUCUAAGUGUUUUUACUUUUUUUUUCUUUUGUCUUCAAACAUCUUGCUACUGUAAUUUCUUCAAAUAAUCUCCUUUUUGACCAUGUAUUACUCCUAAAAAUCACUAAAAUUCUAUAAAAUAAUAAUUAAAAAUACUCAAAUGACCGACUGUCAUCA